UACGUAGGUGGCAAGCGUUAUCCGGAUUUAUUGGGCGUAAAGGGAACGCAGGCGGUCUUUUAAGUCUGAUGUGAAAGCCUUCGGCUUAACCGGAGUAGUGCAUUGGAAACUGGUAGACUUGAGUGCAGGAGAGGAGAGUGGAAUUCCAUGUGUAGCGGUGAAAUGCGUAGAUAUAUGGAGGAGCACCGGUGGCGAAAGCGGCUCUCUGGCCUGUAACUGACACUGAGGCUCGAAAGCGUGGGGAGCAAACAGG
rnacentral:rRNA from 1 species